GAUGAAGAACGUAGCGAAAUGCGAUAAGUAAUGUGAAUUGCAGAAUUCAGUGAAUCAUCGAAUCUUUGAACGCACAUUGCGCCCGCUGGUAUUCCGGCGGGCAUGCCUGUUCGAGCGUCAUUUCAACCCUCAAGCUCUCCGGAGUUUGGUGUUGGGGCGCCUGGGGCUUUUCGACCUCAGGGCCCUCAAGUCCAUCGGCGGGACCGCCAGGACACUGAGCGCAGUAGUAUUAUUUCGCUCGGUAGGAUCUUCCACGGCGGGUCGAUCUGGCCGCUAAACCCCCCAAUUCUCACCAAAGGUUGACCUCGGAUCAGGUAGGAAUACCCGCUGAACUUAAGCAUAUCAAAAGCGGAGGA
rnacentral:misc_RNA from 1 species